UGAUGGCGUCUCCCUGUGUGUUUAUCAGCAUAAACACAUAGUUUUAUGCCAUCAGAGAAGAAGAUGCAGUUUCUUCAUCUUUUGCCCCAGACAUGCAUAUUUUGUGCAAUGUCAGCCAUGGGGUGGAAGGAUUUGCGGACUGCUACAAAA